rnacentral:lncRNA from 1 species
CAUGACCAAAAUGGUCAGUUGACCCGUUUAGGAGUUAUUGCCCUUUAUAGUCAAUUUUUAACCAUUUUUCGUUAAUUAAAGUAAUCUUUUACAAAAAUCUUCUCCUCUGAAACUACUUGGCCAAAUUAAUCCAAACUUGGCCACAAUCAUCUUUGGGGUAUCUAGUUUAAAAAAUAUGUGGCGUGACCUGGUCAACCAACCAAGAUGGCCGCCACGGCUAAAAAUAGAACAAAGGGGUAAAAUGCAGUUUUUGGCUUAUAACUCAAAAACCAAAGCAUUUUGAGGAAAUCUGACAUGGGAUAAAAAUGUUUAUCAGGUCAAGAUCUAUCUGCCCUUAAAUUUUCAGAUGAAUCGGUCAAUCGGUUGUUGGGUUGCUGCC